rnacentral:rRNA from 1 species
AAUUAACGCUAGCGGCGAGCUUAACACAUGCAAGUCGAGGGGCAACGAAAAUGUUUUUAAUUUGUCGGCGACCGGCGAAUGGGUGAGUAACACGUAUGUAAUCUACCUUUUGCUGGGGUAUAGCCAGGAGAAAUUCUGAUUAAUCCCCCAUAAUAUAAAAGUUCUGCAUGGAGCCUUUAUUAAAACUCAGGUGGCAAAAGAUGAGCAUGCGUUUGAUUAGUUAGUUGGUGAGGUAAUGGCUCUACCAAGACUAUGAUCAGUAGGGGGCCUAAGAGGGUGUACCCCCACACUGGUACUGAGACACGGACCAGACUUCUACGGAAGGCAGCAGUGAGGAAUAUUGGUCAAUGGAGGAAACUCUGAACCAGCUACGCCGUGUGCAGGAUGACGGUCUUUUAGGUUGUAAACUGCUUUUGUAUAGAAAUAAAACUCCUACGAGAUAGGAGCUUGAAGGUACUAUGCGAAUAAGUGUCGGCUAAUUCCGUGCCAGCAGCCGCCGUAAAAC